AGAGGAGUACGUAUAUUCAUUGGCUAGUGAUGAAUAGGAUCUUAUCCACACUAGGGUUUUGGAAUGAACACUAUAAAGGUGCUGCUAUGAGCAUUGUGCAGGUCUGCCUCUUUUGAAAAAGCCAAAGGGCUGAAAAUGAGCUGAAAAAUGAAGAACUCUUGAGAGAUCAUAUGAAGACAUUUUUGUGAGAGUUUAAUCUGUCAAGAGAGCCUAUUUAAUCUUGAAAAGUUUAGUAGCAAAUGUAUACAAUUUGAAGAUGAAGAAUGAUGCUGAUGGAUGCUGAAUUCAUGAUGUAAAUUGAAGUAUAAGAAGGCUCAAACCUGCUGUGACUAUUCUAAAAGCUGAAGACAUGCUUGAGCAAAUUUAUUUUCCUACUUUACAACUGCUCUAAGUGACCUCAAGCUCAAAACAUCACUGCUACCAAGUCUAAUUCAUCAAUGUCAAGCUGUGGAAGCUCUUGGUUGCUGAGAAUUUGAAUUAUAUUAAGGCUAUGUUUGGUAUAUGCUGAAGGUUGUGGUUUUAUCAUUAAAAAGGCUGCUGUGAGCUUAUUCAAUUCUAUACCUUGCUUGCUAAUUUGUCCCAAUCAUCUGAGCAAGUCUAUUUGGCCUAUUGAAGACUGGGGGAGUGAAGUUUGAGUUGUUUGUCAAGCUAGUUUACAGUUUUACCCUCUGAAGCUACAAAGCUAAGGUUUGUUGAGGUUAAGGCUGUUUAAGUGAUUGCAUUGAGCUACCUUGCUUGUUUAUCUGUCUUCAUCAAUUAAGCAAGUGCACUUUAGUGAUAUACAGCUGUGGGAGCCAUUCAUAGGCCUAAACAGAAGCUACAUUGUGAAGAGACCAUUCUACCCUUGAGAUUGUGGUUUAAGUCUUUUGUGAAGUGUCAUUGUUACAUCUUGCUCUAAUCAUUGUGAAUCUUGUUAAGUAGGGUUUUAUGAAGAUAUCAAGGUUGUGGGUGACAAGUACAUGUUAGUUCUGAAGCUACAAAGUGAAGUUACUUCUUUACCCUUGGUUUUAGGGUUUAUCUCAUUGUGCACUUAAUGUGAUCUACCUUGCUGAGUUUAUUGAGGAAGACCUUUGUGCAAGUGUUAUUUGGCUAUACAGAGCUGUGGAAGUCCAUUACAGGCCAUUCUUGGAGCUGCAUUGUGAAGUUACUUCAUUACCCUUGAUUUUAGGGUUUUUGCCUUCUGGGAGCUAUUUUGUUCUACCUUGCUUAUCUACUUGUGUAUUCCAUACAAGAAAGUAUAUUUGACUUAUUCAAGGCUAUGGGAACCUAGUUUCAUCA